AUUGAACGCUGGCGGAAUGCUUUACACAUGCAAGUCGAACGGCAGCACGGACUUCGGUCUGGUGGCGAGUGGCGAACGGGUGAGUAACAUAUCGGAACGUAUCCAAUAAUGGGGGAUAACGAGUCGAAAGAUUCGCUAAUACCACAUACGCCCUACGGGGGAAAGCUGGGGAUCGCAAGACCUGGCGUUAAUGGAGCGGCCGAUAUCUGAUUAGCUAGUUGGUGAGGUAAAGGCUCACCAAGGCGACGAUCAGUAGCUGGUCUGAGAGGACGACCAGCCACACUGGAACUGAGACACGGUCCAGACUCCUACGGAGGCAGCAGUGGGGAAUUUUGGACAAUGGGCGCAAGCCUGAUCCAGCCAUUCCGCGUGAGUGAAGAAGGCCUUCGGGUUGUAAAGCUCUUUCGCAAGGGAAGAAAACUUACCCUCUAACAUAGGGUGAGGUUGACGGUACCUUGAUAAGAAGCACCGGCUAACUACGUGCCAGCCGCCGCCGUAA
rnacentral:rRNA from 1 species